rnacentral:rRNA from 1 species
GACGAACGCUGGCGGCGUGCUUAACACAUGCAAGUCGAACGGAAAGGCCCUGCUUUUGUGGGGUGCUCGAGUGGCGAACGGGUGAGUAACACGUGAGUAACCUGCCCUUGACUUUGGGAUAACUUCAGGAAGCUGGGGCUAAUACCGGAUAGGAGCUCCUGCUGCAUGGUGGGGGUUGGAAAGUUUCGGCGGUUGGGGAUGGACUCGCGGCUUAUCAGCUUGUUGGUGGGGUAGUGGCUUACCAAGGCUUUGACGGGUAGCCGGCCUGAGAGGGUGACCGGCCACAUUGGGACUGAGAUACGGCCCAGACUCCUACGGGAGGCAGCAGUGGGGAAUAUUGCACAAUGGGCGGAAGCCUGAUGCAGCAACGCCGCGUGCGGGAUGACGGCCUUCGGGUUGUAAGCCGCUUUCGCCUGUGACGAAGCGUGAGUGACGGUAAUGGGUAAAGAAGCACCGGCUAACUACGUG